CACGUAGGGGGGCAAGCGUUUGUCCGGAUUCAUUGGGCGUAAAGAGCUCGUAGGCGGUUCGAUAAGUCGGGUGUGAAACCUCCAGGCUCAACCUGGAGACGCCACCCGAUACUGUCGUGACUAGAGUCCAGUAGGGGAGCGUGGAAUUCCUGGUGUAGCGGUGAAAUGCGCAGAUAUCAGGAGGAACACCAGCGGCGAAGGCGGCGCUCUGGGCUGGAACUGACGCUGAGGAGCGAAAGCGUGGGGAGCGAACAGG
rnacentral:rRNA from 1 species